GGGGUGUGCUCAGAGCAGGGGCCUGAAGAAUGGCUCUGCUGUUCAUAACACACCCCAGAGGAAUCUGGGGUCACUGUGAUGAGAGGGAAAAAAGCCUGUAGCCUCCCUAUGAAUAAAUUCCCUACAUGU
ensembl:snoRNA